rnacentral:lncRNA from 1 species
UGAAUAAGCCAGUUAACCACAGCCCUACUCCCUUUCUUUGGGGGCUGAGUGGAAAUGUCCCACCCUGGGCAGGAGGGAGCCUCCUUUAUUUCAGGGGCCAGACAACCCCAAUCCCAACGUUUCCUGAUCCUUAUCUCCCACUGCAGUGUUAUCUGAAUGUGGGAGGGAGGAAGCCAGACCCACGCUCCACAUCUCCCCUGAUCCCCACCCCGUGACUCAUCCUGCCCCUGUACAGCACCAGGCAGGGGCCACAUGGGGGCAGAAGCCUCACCUGGGAGUCCUGGGGCUGCCCUGGAGGGUUUCAGGAGGUUCCCAUUCCUUCUUAUUACCAUUUCAUGAAUGGGAAACGGAAACGGCCUUUCCCAUUUUCCUAGGAGCCAGGGGCAAAGCUGGAUGCUGGCGGGUAGGCCAACCUAGGCCAGGCUCCGCAUCUCUCCCUGGAAGACCCCAAAGACUCAGGCAAAAGACACACACUUUACUUUUCCUUCCUUUAAUCUUAUGCAAAAGGGACACAGGGGUUCAAAAAUAAAAAUUUCUCUUCCCCCUCCCCAAACCUGUACCCCAGCUCCCCGACCACAACCCCCUUCCUCCCCCGGGGAAAGCAAGAAGGAGCAGGUGUGGCAUCUGCAGCUGGGAAGAGAGAGGCCGGGGAGGUGCCGAGCUCGGUGCUGGUCUCUUUCCAAAUAUAAAUACGUGUGUCAGAACUGGAAAAUCCUCCAGCACCCACCACCCAAGCACUCUCCGUUUUCUGCCGGUGUUUGGAGAGGGGCGGGGGGCGGGGGCGCCAGGCACCGGCUGGCUGCGGUCUACUGCAUCCGCUGGGUGUGCACCCCGCGAGCCUCCUGCUGCUCAUUGUAGAAGAGAUGACACUCGGGGUCCCCCCGGAUGGUGGGGGCUCCCUGGAUCAGCUUCCCGGUGUUGGGGUUCACACACCAGCACUCCCCACGCUGCCCAUUCAGAGACAUCUUGCACUGGGGAGAGAGGAGAAGAGCAUGGAGGAGCCCGCAGCCAGCAACUUUCCUUCCGUCCCUCAACCCGGCAUCCACUGAGCAGCCACUCCUUGCAGCUACCCACGCGCUGCCGGGUGGAGCUUCGCAACUUCAAAUAUGUGCCAGGAAACCUUGAUAAAAUGCAGAUUCCCAUGCAGUAGGUCCCUGGAGAGCUGGAAAUUCUGCAUCGCUAGCGAGCUCCAACGUGAUGCUGAUGCUGCCCGCCCAGGGACCCCUCUGAUUAGCAAGGCCAUUCAGGACACCCGAAGAUGAAAAGACUCAGUCCCCAGCCUCAAGGAGGUCCCAUCCAGUGGGGGGGACCCAGCAUACUGAAGCUUAGUCAUAGCGUCAGGUGUAAAACCUCAUGUUGCAAUCAAAAUCAGUGUGUGCCAGGCACUGUGUGAGCAAAAGACACACUGCUAGUUCAGUUUCUAACAAAUAUAGUCAUUUAAUCCUCACAACCACUUUGUGAAUUAGAUGCCAUUAUUAUCCCUGGUUUACAGAUGAUAAAACUGAAGCACAGAUGGGCUAAGCAACUUGCCCAAGGUCACACAGCUGGUAAGAAACACAGCUGAGAUGGAAGCCAGGCAUUCCCACUCCAAGGUCUCUGUUUUAUGCAUAAGCUAACCACUCCUGCAAAUCACUUUAGUUACCCAAAGGUGCAGCAGACAGCCUGUUUUCCACGAGAAGUGAUCGAGACUUUUUCUUCUGAGCUCCAAAUGGAGUUAGCCAGCUUACAUUUAGAGGGCAUGUACACAAGUAGCUUUUAAUACUAAACUAAUAUUUAGAGGGUCGAGGUGCCUGGGUGAAGGGGGUGGAGAGGUGAGACCCCUAAGCCAUCAGCAGAGCCCUGUUCCCAUCUCCUGGCUUCACACAUCCACACUUUAGGUCAGCCCAGACUGCCAUUAGAACCACCAGGGUAGCUUUAUAAAAAUCCCAAUGCCCACCCAGGUGUGGUGGCUCAUGCCUGUAAUCCCAGCACUUUGGGAGGUCGAGGUGGGUGGAUCAUCUGAGGUUAGGAGUUCAAGACCAGCCUGGCCAACAUGGUAAACCCCAUCUCUACUAAAAAUACAAAAAUUAGCCAGGCAUGGUGGCAGGCACCUGUAAUCCCAGCUACUCAGGAGGCUAAGGCAGGAGAAUUGCUUGAACACGGCAGGCGGAGGUUGCAGUGAGCUGAGAUCGCGCCACUGCACUCCAGCCUGGGAGACAAGAGCGAGACUCCGUCUCAAAAAAAAAAAAAAGUAUGUUACAGGGAAAAUAUUGCAUAUGCACACUGACUGUUAAAAUGUAUACGAACAGAAGGUGGAAAGAGGAGGGAGAAGGGCUCCUGAGUGGUUUACUUAAACUUCAUUUUCUCCAAUGUAUUUACAAUGGUGUUCUAGAUGGCUUUUCAGAAUCUUUCCAACGGCAUUUCUCCAUCCCUGACUCUUCAUUCCCUGAGAUACUUCGAAACCAUGAAGAGCCAGGCGCAGUGGCUGGCGCCUAUAAUCCCAGCACUUUGGGAGGCUGAGGUGGGAGGAUUGCUUGAGUCCAGGAGUUUGAGACCAGCCUGGACAACAUAGUGAGACCCCCAUUUCCACCAAAAAAUACAAAAUUGGCCAGGUGUGGUGGUGCAUGCCUAUAGUCCCAGCUGUUGGGGAGGCUGAGGAAGGAGGAUCACUUGAGCCCAGGAGUUGGAGGCAGCAGUGAGGUGUGAUGGCACCAUUACACUCCAGCCUGGGCAACAGAGUGAGACC